rnacentral:tmRNA from 2 species
GGGGAUGCCUUGGUUUCGACUGGGGUGGACGACAUUAGUUUGCAGCCCGACAUUGAGGAGAUGUCGUUAAAUAGCCUCAACCCUAUAAAUGCCAACUCUAAGUUCGCAUUCGCUCUUGCUGCCUGACGGUAGUUGAGCGGGGCUAGUGGGCGGCCUGGCAACAGAAUAGCCCACCACAAACUUUCUUGUAACACCCCUUGACACAUGGCUGUGUAUAGACUACUGUUUGAAGCAUCAGGACGCGGGUUCGACUCCCGCCAUCUCCAC